CUACGGGCUGCUCCAGUGGGGAAUAUUGCACAAUGGAGGAAACUCUGAUGCAGCAACGCCGCGUGGAGGAUGACACUUUUCGGAGCGUAAACUCCUUUUAUAUAGGAAGAAGAUGACGGUACUAUAUGAAUAAGCGCCGGCUAACUCCGUGCCAGCAGCCGCGGUAAUACGGAGGGCGCAAGCGUUACUCGGAAUCACUGGGCGUAAAGAGCGUGUAGGCGGAUUAAAAAGUCAGAGGUGAAAUCCUAUAGCUUAACUAUAGAACUGCUUCUGAAACUCUUAAUCUAGAAUAUGGGAGAGGUAGAUGGAAUUUCUGGUGUAGGGGUAAAAUCCGUAGAGAUCAGAAGGAAUACCGAUUGCGAAGGCGAUCUACUAGAACAUUAUUGACGCUGAGACGCGAAAGCGUGGGGAGCAAACAGGAUUAGAUACCCGCGUAGUC
rnacentral:rRNA from 1 species